rnacentral:tRNA from 1 species
UGCAUUGGCCAGGAAUCGAACCCGGGGCGCCCGCGUGGCAGGCGAGCAUUCUACCACUGAACCACCGAUGG